rnacentral:rRNA from 1 species
CACAAGCAGCGGAGCGUGUGGUUUAAUUCGAGGCUACACGAAGAACCUUUACCAGGGUUUGACAUGUCACGUGGUAGGAAUCCGAAAGGUGACCGACCCUUCGGGGAGCGUGCACAGGUGUUGCAUGGCCGUCGUCAGCUCGUGCCGUGAGGUGUUAGGUUAAGUCCUGUAACGAGCGCAACCCCUGCCGUUAGUUACAUGUGUCUAACGGGACUGCCCGGCUCAACUGGGAGGAAGGUGGGGACGACGUCAAGUCAGCAUGGCCUUUAUAUCCUGGGCUACACACACGCUACAAUGGUCGGUACAAUGGGUCGCCAAGCCGCGAGGCGGAGCCAAUCCUCCAAAACCGGCCUCAGUUCAGAUUGUAGGCUGCAACUCGCCUGCAUGAAGUUGGAGUUGCUAGUAACCGCGCGUCAGCUAUACUGCGGUGAAUACGUUCCCGGGGCUU